AGCCUACGGGAUGCAUCAGUAUGGACUCUUCCACACUGGGCGAAAUCCUUAUGGAGCAACGCCGCGUGGGUGAAGAAGGUCUUCGGAUCGUAAAACCCUGUUGUUAGAGAAGAAAGUGCGUGAGAGUAACUGUUCACGUUUCGACGGUAUCUAACCAGAAAGCCACGGCUAACUACGUGCCAGCAGCCGCGGUAAUACGUAGGUGGCAAGCGCUAUCCGGAUUUAUUGGGCGUAAAGGGAACGCAGGCGGUCUUUUAAGUCUGAUGUGAAAGCCUUCGGCUUAACCGGAGUAGUGCAUUGGAAAC
rnacentral:rRNA from 1 species